AGCAGCAGCCACGGGAAUACGAAGGGGGCUAGCGUUGCUCGGAAUCACUGGGCGUAAAGGGUGCGUAGGCGGGUCUUUAAGUCAGGGGUGGAAUCCUGGAGCUCAACUCCAGAACUGCCUUUGAUACUGAAGAUCUUGAGUUCGGGAGAGGUGAGUGGAACUGCGAGUGUAGAGGUGAAAUUCGUAGAUAUUCGCAAGAACACCAGUGGCGAAGGCGGCUCACUGGCCCGAUACUGACGCUGAGGCACGAAAGCGUGGGGAGCAAACAGGAUUAGAUACCCGAGUAGUCCCUGUCUCUUAUAC
rnacentral:rRNA from 1 species